rnacentral:rRNA from 1 species
CCUACGGGAGGCAGCAGUGAGGAAUAUUGGUCAAUGGACGAGAGCCUGAACCAGCCAAGUAGCGUGAAGGAUGACUGCCCUAAGGGUUGUAAACUUCUUUUAUAUGGGAAUAAAAUGUUCCACGUGUGGGAUUUUGUAUGUACCAUAUGAAUAAGGAUCGGCUAACUCCGUGCCAGCAGCCGCGGUAAUACGGAGGAUCCGAGCGUUAUCCGGAUUUAUUGGGUUUAAAGGGAGCGUAGGUGGUUUGUUAAGUCAGUUGUGAAAGUUUGCGGCUCAACCGUAAAAUUGCAGUUGAUACUGGCAGUCUUGAGUACAGUAGAGGUGGGCGGAAUGCGUGGUGUAGCGGUGAAAUGCUUAGAUAUCACGAAGAACUCCGAUUGCGAAGGCAGCUCACUGGACUGCAACUGACACUGAUGCUCGAAAGUGUGGGUAUCAAACAGGAUUAGAUACCCCAGUAGUC